UGGUCAAGUUAUUAAGGGUGCAGGGCGGAUGCCUUGGCACUAGGAGCCGAUGAAGGACGUGAUAAGCUGCGAUAAGCUUCGGGGAGUUGCACGUAAACUUUGAUCCGAAGAUUUCCGAAUGAGGAAACUCACUUAGAGUAAUGUCUAAGUAUCAUUAAGUGAAUACAUAGCUUAAUGAGGGGAACUCAGGGAACUGAAACAUCUAAGUACCUGAAGGAAGAGAAAGAAAUUCGAUUCCGUAAGUAGCGGCGAGCGAACGCGGAUUAGCCCAAACCAAUAAAGUUUUCUUUAUUGGGGUUGCGGACAUAUCAUAACGAAGAGGUAUCAUAAUUGAAGAGGUUUGGAAAGACCCACCACAGAAGGUAAUAGUCCUGUAUGUUAAACGAGAAGACUUCAGAUAUGAUCCAGAGUACCACGGGACACGUGAAACCCUGUGGGAAGCAGGAGGGACCACCCUCCAAGGCUAAAUACUACCUAGUGACCGAUAGCGUAUAGUACCGUGAGGGAAAGGUGAAAAGAACCCCGGGAGGGGAGUGAAAUAGAACCUGAAACCCUGCACUUACAAGCUGUGGAAGCACAUUUCUUGUGUGACCGCGUACUUUUUGUAGAACGGGCCAACGAGUUACGUUAAGUAGCAAGGUUAAGCACUUAAGGUGUGGAGCCGUAGCGAAAGCGAGUUUUAACUGAGCGUUCAGUUACUUGACGUAGACCCGAAACCGGGCGACCUACCCAUGAGCAGGAUGAAGCGAAAGUAAAAUUUCGUGGAGGUCCGAACCCACGAGCGUUGAAAAGCUCGGGGAUGACUUGUGGGUAGC
rnacentral:rRNA from 1 species